rnacentral:rRNA from 1 species
CCUACGGGUGGCAGCAGUGAGGAAUAUUGGUCAAUGGGCGCGAGCCUGAACCAGCCAAGUCGCGUGAAGGAUGACUGCCCUACGGGUUGUAAACUUCUUUUGUAAAGGAAUAAAGUGAGGCACGUGUGCCUUUUUGUAAGUACUUUAUGAAUAAGGAUCGGCUAACUCCGUGCCAGCAGCCGCGGUAAUACGGAGGAUCCGAGCGUUAUCCGGAUUUAUUGGGUUUAAAGGGUGCGUAGGUGGGUUGUUAAGUCAGUGGUGAAAGUUUGCGGCUCAACCGUUAAACUGCCAUUGAUACUGGUAGUCUAGAGUACAGGUGAGGUAGGCGGAAUGCGUGGUGUAGCGGUGAAAUGCUUAGAUAUCACGCAGAACUCCGAUUGCGAAGGCAGCUUACUAAACUGCAACUGACGUUGAUGCACGAAAGCGUGGGUAUCAAACAGGAUUAGAUACCCGAGUAGUC